rnacentral:rRNA from 1 species
GACGAACGCUGGCGGCGUGCCUAACACAUGCAAGUCGAACGGGGAUAGCAAUAUCCCUAGUGGCGAACGGGUGAGUAACGCGUAGACAACCUGCCUUCUAGACGGGGACAACGUUCCGAAAGGGGCGCUAAUACCGGAUGAGGUCUUCGAGCUGCAUAGCUUGAAGAAGAAAGGUGGCCUCUAUUUAUAAGCUACCGCUAGAAGAUGGGUCUGCGUCUGAUUAGCUAGUUGGUGAGGUAACGGCCCACCAAGGCGACGAUCAGUAGCCGGUCUGAGAGGAUGAACGGCCACACUGGGACUGAGACACGGCCCAGACUCCUACGGGUGGCAG